CAGGGAAUAUUGGUAAUGGGCGAAAGCCCGAACCAGCAACGCCGCGUGCGCGAUGAAGGCCUUCGGGUUGUAAAGCGCUUUUUAAGGGGAUGAGGAAGGACAGUACUCUUAGAAUAAGCCUCGGCUAACUACGUGCCAGCAGCCGCGGUAAAACGUAGGAGGCGAGCGUUGUCCGGAUUUACUGGGCGUAAAGCGUGUGUAGGCGGUUUGAUAAGUUGGAUGUGAAAGCUCCCGGCUCAACUGGGAGAGGUCGUUCAAAACUAUCAGACUUGAGAGUGGUAGAGGGAGGUGGAAUUCCGCGUGUAGUGGUGAAAUGCGUAGAUAUGCGGAGGAACACCAGUGGUGAAAGCGGCCUCCUGGCCCAUUUCUGACGCUCAGACUCGAAAGCUAAGGUAGCAAACGG
rnacentral:rRNA from 1 species